CUUCAGGAAAAUUAGUUUGUCAGGUAUAGAGCCAGUGUCACUAAUCUUAGUGGGCCUCAGCAGGACUUGAGACUGGCCAUUGUUGGAGUGGGGAGAAGACCUUCUGAUAUGGUGCUGCUAUAGAGAGAGCUGUUGCCCGCUCCCUCCUGUCUCCUGGGAGGAGAAUGGUCUGCUGGAGUGUAUUCCCGAGCCGAGUGAGGAGGAUCUUCAAGUGGAACUUUCAGAAGCUGAUAGACGGUCACCGUGGUCGAGGAGAUGGUGGACUGCGGCCAGAGCAUGUUAAAGAGGCUUACGGCAGCAGGAUAAACAGAGCUACAUGCUGAUCGGCCAGAGCUGGCAGGGGCAACAGAAGUCCAAGGGUGUCUGUGACCUGGAUGUGGAUCACAUGAAUGAGGGAACUUGCCUGGAGCUGGCAAGAGCACCUCAAAACUGAGUCUGAGAGAGAAGGACCAAGAGCAAAGCACAAGCUGAGGGCAGGUUGAGAGAACCUAGCCGAAGAAAGAUGCUUGUUGCCCAUAUCAUGAAAAUUGGAAGACAAAUAAGAAAGAGCCACCAAAACCUAUCACUGAUGCAGUAAACACACCAGAGCAAGUGACUCCACUCUACAUAUAUCCUUUCUUAGAAUCUUAUCAACACCAACCUUGCAGGAAGUUCCUGAGUUUCAAAAUCAGAUAUAGGUGAGCAUCAGGCAGUUUUGUCACUGCCACCUCACCCAUGCCAACAGCUCCAGGUGCUGCCUCAGAUGCAUGGGUCCCGCAUCAUGCAACUUCCACUUGAGCACCGCUCCCAAGCUCUCAACCACAUUUCCACCUCCCUGCUUGAUAUCUCUCUGUGGAUGUCCAAAUCUUACCUCAAACUCUAUUCCACACUUCUGAAACUCUACAUUCUUCUUCCACAGCAGCGCUCCUCUGUGGAUCACCAAGAACCAUGAAUUUGCUUAAAUCAGCUUCAUCGCUUAAAGAAACACCUCCCCUGGCUUACACUGCGUUUAACUGUCACAUCUUCAUUCAUGAGAUGGUCUAACCAUCUUUAAAUCCAGUGUCGAAGACACUUGUGUUGUUCCAAGAUCUUCAUCAGAAACAGGAUAAAAAAAGAAAACACCCAACCGGGGAAUAAGACUUGAGGUUGAGUUUUAACUCUGGUAUUUAACAGGUUUUGCAGGCUUCAAAUCAUUAUUUUGCCUCUGAACUUCAAUUUCCUCAACUGUAAAAUAGGGAUGAUAAUCUCAGCAAUGACUCAGAGUUUUAGCAAAAAAUAU
rnacentral:lncRNA from 1 species